UAGGGAAUCUUCGGCAAUGGGGGGAACCCUGACCGAGCAACGCCGCGUGAGUGAAGAAGGUUUUCGGAUCGUAAAGCUCUGUUGUUAAGGAAGAACGAGUGUGAGAAUGGAAAGUUCAUGCUGUGACGGUACUUAACCAGAAAGGGACGGCUAACUACGUGCCAGCAGCCGCGGUAAUACGUAGGGCGCAAGCGUUAUCCGGAAUUAUUGGGCGUAAAGAGCUUGUAGGCGGUUCGUCGCGUCUGGUGUGAAAGCCCAUCGCUUAACGGUGGGUUUGCGCCAGGUACGGGCGGGCUAGAGUGCAGUAGGGGAGACUGGAAUGCCCGGUGUAACGGUGGAAUGUGUAGAUAUCGAGAAGAACACCAAUGGAGAAGGCAGGUCUCUGGGCUGUUACUGACGCUGAGAAGCGAAAGCGUGGGGAGCGAACAGG
rnacentral:rRNA from 1 species